UACGAGGGGGGCAAGCGUUGUUCGGAAUUAUUGGGCGUAAAGGGCGCGUAGGCGGUGCGGUAAGUCACCUGUGAAACUCUGGGCUCAACUCAGAGCCUGCAGGCGAAACUGCCGUGCUUGAGUGUGGGAGAGGUGCGUGGAAUUCCCGGUGUAGCGGUGAAAUGCGUAGAUAUCGAGAGGAACACCAGUGGCGAAGGCGAGUCUCUGGACGACUCCUGACACUGAGGCACGAAAGCUGGGGGAGCAAACAGG
rnacentral:rRNA from 1 species